CAAAAUGGCGACACGUGGUUAGCAUUCGUCGCCAACGAGAAAUUGGGGUCGGCCCGAAAGCUCUAGAAUGCACCCCUCUUCCUCCCCGGGGCCUUCCACCUCCGCGAGUUUUAUGACUUAAAAAAGCCCACAGGCUGGUCUGAAGAGGAAGACAAACAUAAAGAUGAAGUGCUUAAUUCAAGGUCACACAAUGUCGGGGAUGGACCUCCAGAUUUCCUUACUGACCUGCAUUAUCUUGUGGAUACCUGAGUGAAUUCCACACCACCCAUUUUAUAGAUGAAACCACUGAGACAUGGAGCAAUUGACUGAGUAGUCACUGCCCCACCCCUGCCUGGAGCCUCACACAUGACUCGCCUCCUCUCAGUGACCACAGGUUGGUUGAGGGGUUUAACAAGGCUAAGAAGAGACGGAGUCUUGCUAUGUUGCCCAGGCUGGUCUUGAACUCCUCACCUCAAGCGAUCCUCCCGUCUUGGCCUCCCAAGUGUCAGGAUUACGGGCAUGUGCUAUCACACCCAACCUGAUACAUUGCCUUUAUAAAUUUUUUUUUCUUUAUUCUAAAAACCAGAAAAAACAAAACUGGAUACAUGUGCAGAACAUGCAGGUGAGACGUGGUCUUGUAACACAGUGGUUAAGAAUGUGACUUUGGAGCCAGCCUGCUAGGGGCUGAAUUCUGACUCAGCCAUUUACUAACUGUGUGACCUUAGAACUAUCAGGAAAUGGUGUGAGGAGGGGAGCCACAUAUGAAUUUCGGCUUUAUAAAGGGGUAUGGAGAGCACAGCGGUUAGAAGUCAGGCUGGUCAUGAGCUGGUCCUGCCCCUCACUAGCCCUGAGACUUUCUAUGCCUCAGUUUCAACAACUGUAAAAUGGGAGUAGAAUACAGCUCCUGUCUCAUAGCAUUGUCAUGAAGAUUACAUGAGGCAGUGCACGUCACAGAAUUUUCCACACUCCUUGACAGAGGUGCUUAACCCUUAUCCAUCAGCAUUCUCAGACAGCACCUCCGGUUAGGGACAGUAUCUGACCGUCCGACAUCCCUGCAGCCCCCAUGUGUCACACAGACUCAGCC
ensembl:lncRNA PCBP1-AS1 PCBP1 antisense RNA 1